rnacentral:misc_RNA from 1 species
UCUCCGUUGGUGAACCAGCGGAGGGAUCAUUACCGAGUGCAAACUCAUAACCCUUUGUGAACCUAUAUCUGUUGCUUCGGCGGCUCGCUCUCGGGCGAGCCCGCCGGUAAUAUCAGUAUCUCUGUUUGAACCCGACGAUACUUCUGAGUGUUCUUAGCGAACAGUUAAAACUUUUAACAACGGAUCUCUUGGCUCUAGCACGAUGAAGAACGCAGC